AGUGAACGCUGGCGGUAGGCCUAACACAUGCCAGUCGAACGGCAGCACAGUAAGAGCUUGCUCUUACGGGUGGCGAGUGGCGGACGGGUGAGGAAUACAUCGGAAUCUACUUUUUCGUGGGGGAUAACGUAGGGAAACUUACGCUAAUACCGCAUACGACCUACGGGUGAAAGCAGGGGAUCUUCGGACCUUGCGCGAUUGAAUGAGCCGAUGUCGGAUUAGCUAGUUGGCGGGGUAAAGGCCCACCAAGGCGACGAUCCGUAGCUGGUCUGAGAGGAUGAUCAGCCACACUGGAACUGAGACACGGUCCAGACUCCUACGGGAGGCAGCAGUGGGGAAUAUUGGACAAUGGGCGCAAGCCUGAUCCAGCCAUACCGCGUGGGUGAAGAAGGCCUUCGGGUUGUAAGGCCCUUUUGUUGGGGAAGAAAAGCAGCAGGUUAAUACCCCGCUGUUCUGACGGUACCCAAAGAAUAAGCACCGGCUAACUUCGUG
rnacentral:rRNA from 1 species